GAUGAACGCUGGCGGCGUGCUUAACACAUGCAAGUCGAGCGAGGCAAUCUAAGUGAAGUUUUCGGAUGGAUCUUGGAUUGACUGAGCGGCGGACGGGUGAGUAACACGUGGAUAACCUGCCUCACACAGGGGGAUAACAGUUAGAAAUGACUGCUAAUACCGCAUAAGCGCACGGCAUCGCAUGAUGCAGUGUGAAAAACUCCGGUGGUGUGAGAUGGAUCCGCGUCUGAUUAGGUAGUUGGUGGGGUAACGGCCCACCAAGCCGACGAUCAGUAGCCGACCUGAGAGGGUGACCGGCCACAUUGGGACUGAGACACGGCCCAAACUCCUACGGGAGGCAGCAGUGGGGAAUAUUGCACAAUGGGCGAAAGCCUGAUGCAGCGACGCCGCGUGAGUGAAGAAGUAUCUCGGUAUGUAAAGCUCUAUCAGCAGGGAAGAAAAUGACGGUACCUGACUAAGAAGCCCCGGCUAACUACGUGCCAGCAGCCGCGGUAAUACGUAGGGGGCAAGCGUUAUCCGGAUUUACUGGGUGUAAAGGGAGCGCAGACGGCGAUGCAAGUCUGGAGUGAAAGCCCGGGGCUCAACCCCGGGACUGCUUUGGAAACUGUAUGGCUAGAGUGCUGGAGAGGCAAGCGGAAUUCCUAGUGUAGCGGUGAAAUGCGUAGAUAUUAGGAAGAACACCAGUGGCGAAGGCGGCUUGCUGGACAGUAACUGACGUUCAGGCUCGAAAGCGUGGGGAGCAAACAAAAUUAGAUUCCCUGGUAGUCC
rnacentral:rRNA from 1 species